AGAGUUUGAUCAUGGCUCAAGAACGAACGCUGGCGGCAUGCCUAACACAUGCAAGUCGAACGAGACCUUCGGGUCUAGUGGCGCACGGGUGCGUAACGCGUGGAAUCUGCCCUUGGGUUCGGAAUAACAGUUAGAAAUGACUGCUAAUACCGGAUGAUGUCUUCGGACCAAAGAUUUAUCGCCCAGGGAUGAGCCCGCGUAGGAUUAGCUAGUUGGUGGGGUAAAGGCCUACCAAGGCGACGAUCCUUAGCUGGUCUGAGAGGAUGAUCAGCCACACUGGGACUGAGACACGGCCCAGACUCCUACGGGAGGCAGCAGUGGGGAAUAUUGGACAAUGGGCGAAAGCCUGAUCCAGCAAUGCCGCGUGAGUGAUGAAGGCCUUAGGGUUGUAAAGCUCUUUUACCCGGGAUGAUAAUGACAGUACCGGGAGAAUAAGCCCCGGCUAACUCCGUG
rnacentral:rRNA from 1 species